ACAGUGAGCUGUGAUCACACCACUGCACUCCAGUCUGGGUGACAGAGUGAGACACUGUCUCAAGAAAAAACAAAAAUUAAAACAAACAAUAACAACAACAACAACAACAAAAAAAAACGGCAAAGUUAGAACACACAAAAGAUAGUAUAGUUCCUUACCCAUCCACCACUUGGUUUUGAGGAGAAAAGGGAAGUAAGAAGAGUUGAAGAGAAGAAAAACAGAACAGAAGAGUGGGAAAGGAAGAUGAAAGGGUGCUAUGGAGUACUAUGCACCUGUUUAGAAGUGGGGAAGUAGCACAAACACUAGCAAAAGAAGAACCACCAUGGAGUUCCUCCUUGCACAUCUCUCUCCCCUCCUGAAGGCCUAGGGUGAGCCCACAGCAUUGUUCCAGCAGUGAGGGAGUCUUCACUGCCUCCUGAGACUCUCUCACGGCUCUUAAGAUACCUCCCUGAAGUCCCUCCAAAGAAUUCAAUGUGCCCCUAGUCUAAAUCAGUUUCCUCCAUCAUAAAUACUCAUAGAUGACGCAACAAUAAAGCGUUAAUAACGAUAAUGGCAA
rnacentral:lncRNA from 10 species